rnacentral:rRNA from 1 species
AGAACGAACGCUGGCGGCAUGCCUAAUACAUGCAAGUCGAACGAACACUUCGGUGUUAGUGGCGCACGGGUGCGUAACGCGUGGGAAUCUGCCCUUGGGUUCGGAAUAACAGUUGGAAACGACUGCUAAUACCGGAUGAUAUCGAAAGAUCAAAGAUUUAUCGCCCAGGGAUGAGCCCGCGUAGGAUUAGCUAGUUGGUGAGGUAAAGGCUCACCAAGGCGACGAUCCUUAGCUGGUCUGAGAGGAUGAUCAGCCACACUGGGGGACUGAGACACGGCCCAGACUCCUACGGGAGGCAGCAGUAGGGAAUAUUGGACAAUGGGCGCAAGCCUGAUCCAGCAAUGCCGCGUGAGUGAUGAAGGCCUUAGGGUUGUAAAGCUCUUUUACCCGAGAUGAUAAUGACAGUAUCGGGAGAAUAAGCCCCGGCUAACUCCGUGCCAGCAGCCCGAC